UACGAAGGGGGCUAGCGUUGCUCGGAUUGACUGGGCGUAAAGGGCUCGUAGGUGGCCAACUAAGUCAUGCGUGAAAUCCCUCAGCUUAACUGGGGAACUGCGUCUGAUACUGGAUGGCUUGAGUUCGGGAGAGGGAUGCGGAAUUCCAGGUGUAGCGGUGAAAUGCGUAGAUAUCUGGAGGAACACCGGUGGCGAAGGCGGCAUCCUGGACCAACACUGACGCUGAGUGAGCGAAAGCCAGGGGAGCAAACGGG
rnacentral:rRNA from 1 species